rnacentral:rRNA from 1 species
UACGUAGGAUGCAAGCGUUGUCCGGAUUUAUUGGGUUUAAAGGGUGCGUAGGCGACCUAUUAAGUUAGUGGUGAAAACGUUCGGCUUAACCGGAUACCCGCCAUUGAUACUGAUAGGCUUGAGUGCGACAGAGGGUGUUGGAAUGUGUGGUGUAGCGGUGAAAUGCGUAGAUAUCACGCAGAACACCAAUUGCGAAGGCAGAUGCCUAUGUCGUAACUGACGCUGAGGCACGAAAGCGUGGGGAGCAAACAGG